GUAAGAUGAUGAGAACAUGCGUGUCAUUUGACCCAAGUGUAACGUUCAUUCACUGCUUAAGUUGUGAUGUUUUAUUACAACUUUAUGUGGUUUAUGAAACAUUUACUUGGUAAAUGAUGUAAUUUUAUUCUGAUUAC